rnacentral:rRNA from 1 species
GACGAACGCUCGCGGCGUGCUUAACACAUGCAAGUCGAACGGAAAGGCCCUGCUUUUGUGGGGUGCUCGAGUGGCGAACGGGUGAGUAACACGUGAGUAACCUGCCCUUGACUUUGGGAUAACUUCAGGAAACUGGGGCUAAUACCGGAUAGGAGCUCCUGCUGCAUGGUGGGGGUUGGAAAGUUUCGGCGGUUGGGGAUGGACUCGCGGCUUAUCAGCUUGUUGGUGGGGUAGUGGCUUACCAAGGCUUUGACGGGUAGCCGGCCUGAGAGGGUGACCGGCCACAUUGGGACUGAGAUACGGCCCAGACUCCUACGGGAGGCAGCAGUGGGGAAUAUUGCACAAUGGGCGGAAGCCUGAUGCAGCAACGCCGCGUGCGGGAUGACGGCCUUCGGGUUGUAACCCGCUUUCGCCUGUGACGAAGCGUGAGUGACGGUAAUGGGUAAAGAAGCACCGGCUAACUACGUG